CCUACGGGAGGCUGCAGUCGGGAAUAUUGCGCAAUGGAGGGAACUCUGACGCAGUGACGCCGCGUAUAGGAAGAAGGUUUUCGGAUUGUAAACUAUUGUCGUUAGUGAAGAAGAAGGACAGUACCUAAGGAGGAAGCUCCGGCUAACUACGUGCCAGCAGCCGCGGUAAUACGUAGGGAGCGAGCGUUAUCCGGAUUUAUUGGGUGUAAAGGGUGCGUAGACGGGCACGCAAGUUAGUUGUGAAAUCCCUUGGCUUAACUGAGGAACUGCAACUAAAACUGCGAGUCUUGAGUGCAGGAGAGGUAAGUGGAAUUCCUAGUGUAGCGGUGAAAUGCGUAGAUAUUAGGAGGAACACCAGUGGCGAAGGCGACUUACUGGACUCUAACUGACGUUGAGGCACGAAAGUGUGGGGAGCAAACAGGAUUAGAUACCCCAGUAGUC
rnacentral:rRNA from 1 species